AUUGAACGCUGGCGGCAUGCCUUACACAUGCAAGUCGAACGGUAGGGGGAGCAAUCCCCUGAGAGUGGCGAACGGGUGAGUAAUACAUCGGAACGUACCUGGUAGUGGGGGAUAGCCCGGCGAAAGCCGGAUUAAUACCGCAUAAGACCUGAGGGUGAAAGCGGGGGACUCGCAAGGGCCUCGCGCUACCGGAGCGGCCGAUGUCAGAUUAGCUAGUUGGUGGGGUAAAAGCCUACCAAGGCGACGAUCUGUAGCUGGUCUGAGAGGACGACCAGCCACACUGGGACUGAGACACGGCCCAGACUCCUACGGAGGCAGCAGUGGGGAAUUUUGGACAAUGGGCGCAAGCCUGAUCCAGCCAUGCCGCGUGCGGGAAGAAGGCCUCGGUUGUAACG
rnacentral:rRNA from 1 species